UGAUAAGGGAAGAGCUCCAGGGCAGGAGCACUACAGAGGAGCUUCUGGCCAGUUUCUGGACUGUCCUGGGAGAAGAGCAACCUCGGUAUUGGUGAGGAGUACCAGCAGGAACAAGUAAAUGGACGGAAGUGCCUGGGGUGUUCUGGGACUACCUUAUGGUGAAGACGUAGAGAACUUUCCUGAGAUUUGGGAUUCUUGCUUCAAAGAAUAUUUAAUUAUGAUACCAACUGGAAGAACUCCAACAUCCGAGAGAGAGCAUGCAUCAACCUGCAGCCAGCCAGCCUGGUAGUCAGGGCACUCUCUGAAGAUACUGUUAGGCCCCUGGGCUGAGUCAGUCAAAGCUCUACUCCAAUAUCUGUGGUGAAUGGACUGACAACAGGCCUAUUUAAGAAGGAACAUCUCACUUGCAUUUUCAUCAGCCUUUUGACAUAGUGUGA